rnacentral:sRNA from 1 species
UGAAACAGAUUGUUUUUAUAGUGCACCGC